rnacentral:tRNA from 1 species
GCAUAUCUAGCUCAGUCGGUAGAGUGCAAGACUUUUAACCUUGAGGUCGUGGGUUCAAGCCCCAUGGUGGCCG